UUUUUUUUUUUUUUUCAAAUUCUUAGUAAAUGUUUGUAAAUAUUAGUCAGGUCUCCCUAAAAAUAUUAAGAACUACUUUUUGGCAGAAAUAUUCCACAGAUAACUAUCGCAUAUCAUAUAUUUUAAGCAUGUGAUAACGUAUUACCUAAUUAAUCAUUUCGCACGAAAAACAGCUUUUAGUUAUCAUAGUUUUAGAGAUAUCAAGGUGACUACCAUUACCCAAUGACCACCGUUCCCUUAAUCUCCCAUGUCCAUUCAAUUUUCCUUCUACCUUCCCAACAUAGUUACAUAGUAUAAUAAUUGAAGGAACAAGAUCAAAAGGAAGACCCAGGACGAAGUACAUUAUAGCCAAGUUAUACAGGAUACAGGAGUCACUUCCUACAUGGAGCUCAAGAAUAUGGCGUAUGACAUAGAAAAAUGGAGAAGGCAUUUAUUGUAAAAAUAAGUUAAAAACCAAUAUUUUGAUUGAUAAAAAAAAACUUUCUCAACUUCACAUCUAUAACAGUGGCCCACCUAUCGUGCGAAGUAUGUCAGUUUGCUUUUUGAUUUGUGUUUUAUCGUUCUAUUCUUAUUUACGACCACGAAGGUUUUCAUUUUACAAAUUUAAACUAUCAAACGUUAGUUGACAUAAAAUUAUUCUAAAUCGUUUUUAAAAAAUUAUUGAUUUGAAGAUGUGAUUUAUUGAAUUGUUUGACAUUUUAGUUUUAAGAGAAAUGAUGAAUUUAAUACAAAAAUAAAAUAAAUGGAAGACAAUUUUGCGUCAACAUGAUAGUGGUUCAAGAUUUUUUUGAAUGAUAGAUGGCCUGAGUUAACGUACAUGUUAGCAUGGCAUUCUUUAUAAGAAAACAUGUUUCUUUAUUAAAU